ensembl:lncRNA
GUUCCUGCUCCAGCAGCGGGAUGUGAUUCACCAGCAAGGAGGGACGCCAAUAAGGGGCCGGAUAAGGCUUGUGUGUUUUGAAGAAAAUGGACAUAAGCCCAGUCCAAAGAAUUCAGCUUGAAAGGGAGCCAAGAAGGACAGUGGCAUCUCUGUAAAGGUGAAAGGAAGGCUCUACCCUUCUCACAGUUCCUGCCUCCAGGUUCCUGCUUAAAUUCCUGCUCUGACUUCUAUUGGUGAUGGACUGAGACAUGGAAAUCCCCUGCUUGAACUCUGGUCCUGGUUGUAUUUAAAGGAGAUACCCACAUCAGCAGUGGGACACAGCCACUGAGCACUUUGUUGAGUGGCAGUUUCCUCAGAGACUGAAGCAUUCCAUCCUUCAGGCAAGCUGCUUAAGACAGAAACCAAACAACUCAAAACAGUUUUAGUGAGUCCUUGAAGCUGACCAGAUUCACUAGGCUCCUUUCUCUCCUUGGGAGUAACUCUCAGAUAAGACAAGCUGCAAAGAAGACUCCAAGCCUGAAAGAAGCAGAGAACAGCCAAAUUGCGUAGAAGACGCUCAACUAACUGAGACCCCUGGAAAGGACACUCUCCUGUCUGUUGAGCUCUCUGCAGGCUGUGCAGUGUGCACUGGGUUCCCAAUUUUUGUGAGCUGAUACACAUGCCAGGGUGGGCUUUGGUGAUGCAGCUGCUUUUGAGUCCUUUCUGCUCCGUCUAGUAACUCCUCACCCACAUUCCUGUGCCUGCAGGUCACUGUAAAGUAUGCCUAGCCAGGGUGGUGUGAUGGUGGAAGUGGCAGUGGUGUCCAGGCUACAAGUCAGCUUUGCCCAGGCUACAUGUCAACUUUUCUUGCCAUGCACAACGAAGAAUACCAGAUGCGUGCUUUGGCUUCUCCUUGUAUUUUCUUUGAUAUGGAACAUUACUAUUGGUUGUUUACUUUGCUCGUCUCUUCAUUUUCUGAUGUUUUUAUGUAUGUUUAACAUACAUAAAAAGCGAAGAAAAUAUAUGUUAGCCCCCCUUCCCUGGGCUCAUUUAUUUGAAUGCUUAUCCCUAGUUAGUGGAACUGUUUGAGAAGGAUUGGGAGGGAUGGCCUUUUGGAGGAAGUGUUUCACUGGUAGUAGGCUUUGAGAUUUUGAAAGACACCUGCCAUUUCUAGUGUGUUCUCUGCUUAGUGCUUGUAAAUGAGACGGAAGCUUUCAGCUAUUGCUCCAGUGCCAUGUGCACCUACCUGCUGCUACACUUCCUGACAUGGUGGUCAUGGUCUUGAACCAUCUGGAACCAUGAUUCCUAAAUUAAAUGCUUUCCCCCCCUUGUUCAUGGUAUUUUAGCACAAUGUAGCAAUACAACUAAUACAGCCAUCUUAUUUAAAAAAAUCAAUAUUUCCCAAUAUUUUCUCUGAUAUUGAUUCCAACAUUUGUGAUCAUUUUGCAUAACUGAUUUCUUAUUUCUACAAGGAAGCUAGGUGAAUCCGACCCAUCUUUGAUCAUGAUUGACAGAUUAUCCCACAACUGAUCUUUUCACACAUAAUUCAAUCCCACUCUGCUAGGAGGGUAGCUGUCCUUUGGUACUUUGCAAGAGAUUAGUUCCUGUCUCUGUGGACGCACAAGUGCCUGUCCAAAAUGGCACAGAAUAUUCAUGUCUCCCGUAUACAUCCUCCUAUAUAAUUUAAAUAAUGUCUCAGUUGUGUACUAAACCUGACACAAUAUAAAUUAUAGAAUGCUCUACAAAUGGCUGACAUACUGUGUUGCUUAAAGAACCAUGACAAGAAAUAGUCUAUACAUGUCCAGUAUAAACACAUUAAAAAAUCUGUUUGAUCUCUGGCAGAUAGACUCUGGAGAUGCACACACCAAAUCCAUGCAUGAAUAAACUUUUUGACUUUACUUUGGGGACACACUCCAUGCCUUUCCCUUCACUCCUGUUUUAGAAGGACCCAAAUUCACAGCUUUUUAUGCUCACAGAAGGACUAAAUGGUAACAGUCUAAAACGAACACACUUAGAGUUUCUUUUUUAAAUGUGUUUUUAAUUGCUAAAGAAUUUAGUGGGGGAACAAACAAAAUGGUUGGGUAGAAAGGUUCUCUCUUCAAACCAGUCAGCCAGGGAAAAAUACCAACAGCAAUUGAACAAAAUGCAGCACUCAAUUGGAUCAAUUUACUUUUGUUCCUCAUUUGUCUUUCUUAAGCAUAUAAUCAGUAUGCCAAAUAUUGUUCCUAUUUUGGCCAGCUGUUAAAUAGAGACUGGCACUAUUUUUUUAAACAAUUGUUCAGAAUAACAAAGCUAGGUGGUUCUUUGUGUUUUGACAAUGUGGAAAUUGUCUAAAAAAAUUCUGGAUGUUUGUAAUUCCAUGUAACUUUCUCUAUCCAUGAAUUUCUUUCAUGAUCUUGGAUGCUAUUUGAAUAAUGCUUUAAUUCUUUGCGUUCCCUUUGCUCCUGUCUUGGUAAUACUGUCCUUCCCACUUAGAAGGAACAUGAUCUUCUCCUUCUAAAAGUCUGUUUUCAAGUCGAUUAAAUGAGAUUCCCCUGUCACAAUGCUCUAAGCUUUGUUGGGAAUAAAAACAAAGAAUAAAAGAAAAAUAACUACAGCAAGCAUUACUCCCAGCAGAGUGAGGGCCAGUGCAAGACACAAAUUGAAAGUGAGACAGAAGGUGGCCAGGGCAUACCAAGAGGUGACAAAAUGUCACCAUUUCACCCCUUAAAGCCCCCUUUUCUGGAAACUGAUACUAUGGUAUAAACACCACCUGAAGUUUUAAUGUCAUAUGCUAAGCUUUGCUUUCUUGCUUACCGGAGUGGCUUGGCAAGUUCAGCUUUGUUACUCAUGGUCAGUCUGGGUGGUCCUGCAUCAGGUCUGAAGCCACGUGUGCUCUAUGGUUCCUCAGGCUGGGGCCAGACCCAAGGGGCAGUGGCUACCAGGGGCACAUUCUUUCCAUAGAGGGGUCAGCAACUCCUGGAGCUCUUAUACAGAACUGGCAUGUUGCCACUUUCUAUAAGGGCCUUAAUGGACCAUGUUGAGCUACCCAGCCAAAUCAAAGACCAGAGAGUAUGAAGGAGAGGAAAAUAGGCCUUCCUUAUAGUGGGGUAAGGAAAAAAAUGCAUUGGGGAAGAUGCAGGGUGGGAGUGGAUUGUAAGAGCCAGAAUACAAGGACCUGAACAAUGCAAUAUCACUAGACAUGCCAACAUAGAAGGAGGAAUUUUUCACAGGGAACCAUGCCUAGACAAACAAUUACAGGCAACUAAUGUCUACAGAGAGAGGGAGCAUUUGCUUCUCUCAGGGAUGAACCCUCUAAUUGGUUAUCAAAUGCAAAAAUCUCAGCCCUGAAACACAAAGAACAAAAACCAACUCUUAUGCAUGCACAUGCAUACAUACAUAUAUACAUGCAUACAUAAACACAUAUAUGUAAUAAUAAUAAUAAUAAUCAAAAACCAGGCUACUAAUGUUAGAGUAAGAGAGGGCAUGGAAAGAGUUGGUGGGAGGGGACUUAGAAGCGACUGAAUGGAGGAAGGGGAAGGGGGAAAUGAUCUAAGGCUAUUGUAAUUAAAAUUGUAUAAAAAUAAAAUUGAAAAAAAAUAAUGGAAGUUCUAUCUUGAUUUGAAGCCAUGGCUAUAUUUGCAACUUUUAAAUUUAUAAAAUGUGGCUUGGAUCACAUAAGCAGAGAGAAAUCUAUCCUUAUAUACAUCUAAUGAGAGGCCCAUGAUCAGUAACUACCCAAUGAUGCUUAUUUAUUGUUCAGUUGACAAGUGAGAGUUGUAUAUAUUUGUUGUGAACAGCAUAGCAUUUUUAGCCUGUAAUUUGUAUUUGUGAACAUUAUACAACAGUUACAUUGAGGGGAGUUAUGUGAGGAUAAAUAUUUCAUUAAAGCUAGCUAUUUUAAAACAAAAAGAUAAAAAGAAAUCUUGGUGGACCUUUCUUCAAAACUGAUGCAGCAUUGGGCUAUCUCUAAACUCCUUGAAAAUCAUUUAUGAGUGUGCUUAGAAUUUCUUCGAAGCCAUUUCUGAUUGAAUAUCACAAUUUGAUGUAAGCAUAUGUCAUGAAAUGUGUAAAUCAAGCUAGUUAUAUUUUAUUUACCAUACUUUGAGGUGAGAACACCUCAGAUCUAUUCAAUGAGCAAUAUAAAAGCAUUCAAUACGUGGUUGCUGACUAUAAUCUUCAUAUUUUACAAUGGAAUUCAUCUUAUGAGUCCCAUGUAACUGAAUUUUUAUAAUCUUUCAUCAUCAGUACUUCUCCCUUCCAUCUCUAGUAACUUAUACUCUGCCCUCUGCUCCUCUGAAUUUAGUUUGAUGUCUAUUUAUAUUGUCACCAGUGGGAAGACUCUCAUUUUAAAAGGCUGAUUAUUGUCCCAUCAGGGAUAUGUACUGCAUUUUCUUAUUCUAGUAGUUAAUGGGCAGUUGAAUUAAAUUUGCUCUUGUAGAUUCUGCUGUAAAAUGUAUGGGAAGGCAGAUGUCUCAUUGACAUACUAACCUUAUUUCCUUCAGUAGAUGGCCAGCAAUGGGACUGAUGGAUCGAGGGGUCUAUGAAUUACCCUGUUAAAAACUGAAAAUUAGCCAAGCUUGAAUGCAUAUGCCUUUAAUCCCAGCAUUCAGGAGAUAGAGGCAGGUGGAUCCCUAUGAGUUUGAGGUCAGACUGGUCUACAGAAUGAGCUUCAGGGAAGCCAAAGUUACCCAGAGAACCCUGUAUCAAAAAACCAAUAAAUAAAUAUAUAAAUAAAUGAAAAAGAAAAACCCUGAAAAUUCAUUUUCUACUUUUCAUGAAAUUAUACUAUCAUAUCCAAUAGCCUAAGCAUGAACAUGAAAAUUGCCAUUUCUUUUUAGUCUCUUUAAUAUUGUACUCUAGUCUAUUUGAGAAGUAGCUCUGUUCAAGUAAAUGAGUGACACUAAGGGCAUUUAUAUUGUAUUUUUCUUUCCACAUAUUUUCUCUUAAUAACAUUUCAUAUGACUCUGAGUAUAGAGAUAGAUAUUGAAC